ACUCCUACGGGAGGCAGCAGUGGGGAAUAUUGCACAAUGGGCGCAAGCCUGAUGCAGCCAUGCCGCGUGUGUGAAGAAGGCCUUCGGGUUGUAAAGCACUUUCAGUCGUGAGGAAGGUGGUAGUGUUAAUAGCGCACUUANCAUUUUGACGUUACCUACAGAAGAAGCACCGGCUAACUCCGUGCCAGCAGCCGCGGUAAUACGGAGGGUGCGAGCGUUAAUCGGAAUUACUGGGCGUAAAGCGCAUGCAGGCGGCCUGUUAAGUCAGAUGUGAAAGCCCGGGGCUUAACCUCGGAAUUGCAUUUGAAACUGGCAGGCUAGAGUCUUGUAGAGGGGGUAGAAUUUCAGGUGUAGCGGUGAAAUGCGUAGAGAUCUGAAGGAAUACCAGUGGCGAAGG
rnacentral:rRNA from 1 species